UACGUAGGGUGCAAGCGUUGUCCGGAAUUAUUGGGCGUAAAGGGCUCGUAGGCGGUCCGUCACGUCGGGAGUGAAAACUUGGGGCUUAACCCCAAGCCUGCUUCCGAUACGGGCGGACUAGAGGUAGGCAGGGGAGAACGGAAUUCCUGGUGUAGCGGUGAAAUGCGCAGAUAUCAGGAGGAACACCAAUAGCGAAGGCAGCUCGCUGGGACGGUACUGACGCUAAGGCGCGAAAGCGUGGGGAGCGAACAGG
rnacentral:rRNA from 1 species